UGGCGGCGCGCCUAACACAUGCAAGUCGAACGAGCGAGAGAGAGCUUGCUUUCUCGAGCGAGUGGCGAACGGGUGAGUAACGCGUGAGGAACCUGCCUCAAAGAGGGGGACAACAGUUGGAAACGACUGCUAAUACCGCAUAAGCCCACGGGUCGGCAUCGACCUGAGGGAAAAGGAGCAAUCCGCUUUGAGAUGGCCUCGCGUCCGAUUAGCUAGUUGGUGAGGUAACGGCCCACCAAGGCGACGAUCGGUAGCCGGACUGAGAGGUUGAACGGCCACAUUGGGACUGAGACACGGCCCAGACUCCUACGGGAGGCAGCAGUGGGGAAUAUUGCACAAUGGGGGAAACCCUGAUGCAGCGACGCCGCGUGGAGGAAGAAGGUCUUCGGAUUGUAAACUCCUGUUGUUGAGGAAGAUAAUGACGGUACUCAACAAGGAAGUGACGGCUAACUACGUGCCAGCAGCCGCGGUAAAACGUAGGUCACAAGCGUUGUCCGGAAUUACUGGGUGUAAAGGGAGCGCAGGCGGGAAGACAAGUUGGAAGUGAAAUCUAUGGGCUCAACCCAUAAACUGCUUUCAAAACUGUUUUUCUUGAGUAGUGCAGAGGUAGGCGGAAUUCCCGGUGUAGCGGUGGAAUGCGUAGAUAUCGGGAGGAACACCAGUGGCGAAGGCGGCCUACUGGGCACCAACUGACGCUGAGGCUCGAAAGUGUGGGUAGCGAACAGGAUUAGAUACCCUGGUAGUCCACACCGUAAACGAUGAUUACUAGGUGUUGG
rnacentral:rRNA from 1 species